GAUGAACGCUGGCGGCGUGCCUAAUACAUGCAAGUCGAGCGAACAGACGAGGAGCUUGCCCCUCUGACGUUAGCGGCGGACGGGUGAGUAACACGUGUAUAACCUACCUAUAAGACUGGGAUAACUUCGGGAAACCGGAGCUAAUACCGGAUAAUAUAUUGAACCGCAUGGUUCAAUAGUGAAAGACGGUUUUGCUGUCACUUAUAGAUGGAUCCGCGCCGCAUUAGCUAGUUGGUAAGGUAACGGCUUACCAAGGCAACGAUGCGUAGCCGACCUGAGAGGGUGAUCGGCCACACUGGAACUGAGACACGGUCCAGACUCCUACGGGAGGCAGCAGUAGGGAAUCUUCCGCAAUGGGCGAAAGCCUGACGGAGCAACGCCGCGUGAGUGAUGAAGGUCUUCGGAUCGUAAAACUCUGUUAUUAGGGAAGAACAAAUGUGUAAGUAACUAUGCACGUCUUGACGGUACCUAAUCAGAAAGCCACGGCUAACUACGUG
rnacentral:rRNA from 1 species